rnacentral:SRP_RNA from 1 species
GCCAGGCAUGGUGGUGCAUGCCUGUAAUCCUAGCUACUCAGGAGGCUGAGGCAGGAGAAUCGCUUGAACCUGGGAGGUGGAGGUUGCAGUGAGCCGAGAUUGCACCACUGCACUCCAGCCCGGGCAACAGAGCAAGACUCUGUCUCAA